rnacentral:rRNA from 1 species
UGCGUAGGUGGCAAGCGUUGUCCGGAAUUAUUGGGCGUAAAGCACGCGCAGGCGGUCCUUUAAGUCUGAUGUGAAAGCCCACGGCUCAACCGUGGAGGGUCAUUGGAAACUGGGGGACUUGAGUACAGAAGAGAAGAGUGGAAUUCCACGUGUAGCGGUGAAAUGCGUAGAGAUGUGGAGGAACACCAGUGGCGAAGGCGACUCUUUGGUCUGUAACUGACGCUGAGGCGCGAAAGCGUGGGGAGCAAACAGG